UCGUAGACCCCCACGGUGAUGCCGCCCUGCGGCAGCGCCGACACCAGCACCUCCUCCAACGCUUUGGCCACAGAGUCCAUUCUGCAACAGCGCAAGAAAACAAGUUCAUUAGAACUCACCCGUAAUGUUCAGGGGGACCUGGCAACGACUGAUGUCCACAGUGCUGGUUCCCUCUGGGGAAGGUGAGGCCCCUGGAGAGCCCGCGCGGAGCAGAGACGGGCGCGGGAGCAGCCUAAACAACCAUUAGGAUAAUUAAAACACAGGUUGCUGCACCGCUUGCCUUGAGGCAGGCUGUAGAAAACAGAGCUCUGUUUUGCUGCUAUGCUGACACCUGGUGGGUGCAAUGAUCAACGUCAAUCCACAUGACAAUUGACCAACAUGAGGACUAUUUUAAGAGAACUCUGGACCCCACUGAGGACCUCUAGUCCUGGACUGCGGUGUUUAACUGUAGCCACUAAUCCUUUGAGUUCACUUGAAUUAUGCUGGCAUGCAGUAGAUGAUUUUAAGGCACUAGAUUAGCAACCCUAUAACUUUACCAAUAAGACUCUUCUAAUUAGAUGUUUUUCCUGUAAUGUUUCUUUUCUGUCAACAUGUCGUGUCCCCUGGUUCAAAUUGUUCUGUUUGGCCAUAGUAUAGUGACAUGUUUGUGUUCUUUUGAAACCACACAAGUUGGUUUGUUUAAUCGUAACUCUCAGUGAAAUAUGACUACGGAUAAUUAGCUAUAUCUUGUUAAACUUGAGGCAUAUACUUUAAAAUGAAAAUAAACUUUGAAUUAAGUAAUAGAGAUUAAUAAGGCCUCACACUUGUUUAUCCGCUAGUGAUGUACUUACAAGAGUUGGCCAACAGAUGGCGCUCUAGGACCUUUGUUUUUAAGGCGCCUGACGGCAGAUAGUCACCGUUGACUAUGUUGUACUACCACUCUCUACUUUACUCUGUUCACUAAGAACACCUUAUUGAGUCACUACUCAUACAUAUAUACAUCAAUUAAUUUGUUUAGAUAUACACUUAUUUUUAUACAUA